rnacentral:rRNA from 1 species
UACGAAGGGGGCUAGCGUUGCUCGGAAUUACUGGGCGUAAAGCGCACGUAGGCGGCUCUUUAAGUCGGGGGUGAAAUCCUGGAGCUCAACUCCAGAACUGCCUUCGAUACUGGAGAGCUCGAGUCCGGGAGAGGUGAGUGGAGCUGCGAGUGUAGAGGUGAAAUUCGUAGAUAUUCGCAAGAACACCAGUGGCGAAGGCGGCUUUCUGGUCUGUAACUGACGCUGAGGCGCGAAAGCGUGGGGAGCAAACAGG